UCGAAAGGUUGUAAAAUUGAA
rnacentral:piRNA from 1 species